rnacentral:misc_RNA from 1 species
ACGUCAUCCCCACCUUCCUCCAGGUUAUCCCUGGCGGUCUCCUGCGAGUUCCCAACUGAAUGAUGGCAACACAGGACAAGGGUUGCGCUCGUUGCGGGACUUAACCCAACAUCUCACGACACGAGCUGACGACAACCAUGCACCACCUGUCACUCUGUCCCCCGAAGGGGAACGCUCUGUCUCCAGAGGUGUCAGAGGAUGUCAAGACCUGGUAAGGUUCUUCGCGUUGCUUCGAAUUAAACCACAUGCUCCACCGCUUGUGCGGGCCCCCGUCAAUUCCUUUGAGUUUCAGCCUUGCGGCCGUACUCCCCAGGCGGAGUGCUUAAUGCGUUUGCUGCAGCACUAAAGGGCGGAAACCCUCUAACACUUAGCACUCAUCGUUUACGGCGUGGACUACCAG